rnacentral:rRNA from 1 species
AGUGAACGCUGGCGGUAGGCCUAACACAUGCAAGUCGAACGGCAGCACAGUAAGAGCUUGCUCUUACGGGUGGCGAGUGGCGGACGGGUGAGGAAUACAUCGGAAUCUACUUUUUCGUGGGGGAUAACGUAGGGAAACUUACGCUAAUACAGCAUACGACCUACGGGUGAAAGCAGUGGAUCUUCGCACCUUGCGCGAUUGAAUGAGCCGAUGUCGGAUUAGCUAGUUGGCGGGGUAAAGGCCCACCAAGGCGACGAUCCGUAGCGGGUCUGAGAGGAUGAUCGGCCACACUGGAACUGAGACACGGUCCAGACUCCUACGGGAGGCAGCAGUGGGGAAUAUUGGACAAUGGGCGCAAGCCUGAUCCAGCCAUACCGCGUGGGUGAAGAAGGCCUUCGGGUUGUAAAGCCCUUUUGUUGGGAAAGAAAAGCAGCAGGUUAAUACCCCGCUGUUCUGACGGUACCCAAAGAAUAAGCACCGGCUAACUUCGUG